GUCCCUUUCUCGGCAGCUCCAAUCCGCCGAGGCCUGGCGCCUGCUCUGCCACUCCAGCCUGGCUCUCCUCAUCCUGUACAACCGGCGGCGUGAGUGCGAGGUCUCCAAGCUGUCCAUCGGCGAAUAUCACGCUCGCAUCACCCCCCAGUGCCCGGUUCCCGUGCCCCUGGGUGCCCCGCCCGCCCUCACGCCGUUGGAGGCCUCCCUGUCCCCGUUUGAGCGCCUGGUGCUGCCUCACCUCCCCAGGGUCGGCGUCCAGGGCAAACGUGGACGAGUGCAGCCCCUCAUCCUGCCCCCUCACUGCGAGCCCUGCCUGGAGCUCCUCCUGGAGACGCGGCAGGACGUGGGCGUGGACCCGGCGAACCCGUACGUCUUCGCCAGGCCCUACCACUCCCCCGCCACGCCGCUGCGGGGCACCGACCUUCUGCGCAGCUUGGCCCGCUCGAGCGGCACCCGCAACCCCCGCGCCCUGACCCAGACCAGGGUUCGCCGGCAGGUAGCCAUACUGACCCAGCUGCUGCUGCUGGGGGAAGGGGAGGAGCCCGGGCAGCCCGGGGGCAGCGCGGUGGAGAGGCUGGAGCACUUCCUGGAGAGGGAGUACCACGUGACUCAGAACUGCGCCGGGAUCGGCCAAGACCCAGGCCUGAUGGGCCGGGUGGGCCGGGUGGUGCUCUGCGGGGAGCGAGACGGAGUGCUGUUCAGAGGAAUGAGCCUGAACCACAUCUGCCUGGAACUGGAUGUGAUGUCGGGAAACUCUGCCGACUCGUACUCCGAGGGAGAGUCCGACGGGGAGCGGAUGCAGGAGAAGCCUGAGGCGCCCGCCUCCCCUCCGGCUCCCGCUCCCGCUCCCAACCCCACGCCCACCCUGCUGUAUGUCAGGAAGGGCAAGAACAACGGGCGGGUGGGGCGACCCAAGAAGCUCAAGAACCUGCAGCCGCCCCCCGCACCUCCUCUGCCUACGCCCGUCAACCGCAGGAGAGGCUCAGGUCAGCCCAAAUCAGGGAAGCGCGGCGUCCUGAAGCGGCCCUGGUCAGAGGCGGAGCGCGCGGCGGUUGAGGAGCACCUGACCCAGAACAUCACCGAGCUCCGCGUCCCCGCCAAGGCCGACUGCGAGCGCUGCCUGCAGCAGUGCCCCCCUGCUGGUCAGCAACCACCGCGACUGGCGGGCCAUCAAGUUCUACUGCCACAAUCGCAUCCAGCUGUUGAAAAAGAACCAGCGGCGAGAAAGCGAUGGAACAGACGUCUGCUCUACUUUAAAGGUCUUAAAAAGUGACACUAUCGCGUCUCAACGGCGUUCCUGGUUCGGGGGUCAAGAAGCAGCGCACUGUGACGGGGGCCGUUUGAGACCCUGAAACUGGCCUCCGCCUUUGUUGUGUUGUAAAUGGAGUUGUUUUCUUCUCGUCUCCUUCCAAAACGAAUACACUAAACUAAAAUGUAGAGGGGGAGGAGACGGAGCCCCACAGUGUUGUUGAGCGUCGUGAAGUAGUGUUAGAGUUUUAUGCACUUGGAGACGUAAAUAGGACAAAUGGCCCGUCCUCGGGACACACAUUUCCUACUAGUGGCUAUAUAAUGAGAGUAGAACUAACUACUUCUAACCUAGAAGAACAACCAGAUAUUUCAAGCAAGCUAGAUCCUCUUUUUUCACACUGCUGUUUUGUUUUAUGCGGUCCAUCAUAUUCACGUGUGAGGUACUAAGUGAGGACUUUUAAUGUAGAUAACAAUAUUACGAUGGAGAUUUCAUCGGUUUCAUGAGAGAGGCCACGACGUGUUGGCAGAAUGUAGUGAAGUUCCUUUUGGAUGCCUAAGAUGACCUAAAACAAAGAAACA
ensembl:lncRNA